rnacentral:misc_RNA from 1 species
UCCGGUUCAUCACCGGCAGUCUCCUUAGAGUUCCCACCAUAACGUGCUGGUAACUAAGGAUAAGGGUUGCGCUCGUUACGGGACUUAACCCAACAUCUCACAACACGAGCUGACGACAGCCAUGCAGCACCUGUCUUACAGUUCCUUUCGGCACAACCGCAUCUCUGCAGUCUUCUGUAGAUGUCAAGGGUAGGUAAGGUUCUUCGCGUUGCAUCGAAUUAAACCACAUGCUCCACCGCUUGUGCGGGCCCCCGUCAAUUCCUUUGAGUUUUAAUCUUGCGACCGUACUCCCCAGGCGGAAAACUUAUCGCGUUAGCUUCGAUACUGAUGGGUCUAAGCCCAACAACAUCUAGUUUUCAUCGUUUACAGCGUGGACUAC